GUGACGAAGWGACGCCGCGUGUGGGAUGAAGGCCUUCGGGUUGUAAACCACUGUCGGGAGUUAAGAAUUGUAGGAAUGCUAAUAGUAUUUCUACUUGACUAAGGCUCCGGAGGAAGCCACGGCUAACUCUGUGCCAGCAGCCGCGGUAAUACAGAGGCGGCAAGCGUUGUUCGGAAUUAUUGGGCGUAAAGAGCAUGUAGGCGGCUAUGUAAGUCGGUUGUGAAAGCCUUCCGCUUAACGGAAGAAUGGCGGUCGAAACUGCAUGGCUUGAGUGCGGGAGGGGAGAGUGGAACUUCUGGUGGAGCGGUGAAAUGCGUAGAUAUCAGAAGGAACGUCGGCGGCGAAAGCGACUCUCUAGACCGUAACUGACGCUGAGUGUGCGAAAGCUAGGGGAGCAAACGGGAUUAGAUACCCCGGUAGUCCUAGCCGUAAACGAU
rnacentral:rRNA from 1 species